GACGAACGCUGGCGGCGUGGAUUAGGCAUGCAAGUCGAACGGUAUCAUCCUUUCGGGGGUGAGAGAGUGGCGAACUGGUGAGUAACACGUAGGUUAUCUACCCUCAAGACGGGGACAACCCAGGGAAACUUGGGCUAAUACCGGAUGUGAGCAACUUUUAGUUGUUUGAAAGGUGGCGUAAGCUGUCGCUUGGGGAUGAGCCUGCGUCCUAUUAGUUAGUUGGUGAGGUAACGGCUCACCUAGGCAAUGAUAGGUAGGCGGCCUUAACGGGUGGUCGCCCCACACUGGGAUUGAGAUACGGCCCAGACUCCUACGGGAGGCAGCAGUCGAGAAUAGUCUACAAUGGUCGGAAGACUGAUAGUGCGACGCCGCGUGAACGAUGAAUCCCUUCGGGGUGUAAAGUUCUUUUAUAUGUGAGCAGUGCUUCUUAUAUUAACAGUAUGGGGAGAGAGAUAUUAGCAUAUGAAUAAGCAACGGCUAACUCCGUGCCAGCAGCCGCGGUAAACUGUA
rnacentral:rRNA from 1 species